rnacentral:rRNA from 1 species
GGACUACCCGGGUAUCUAAUCCUGUUUGCUCCCCACGCUUUCGCACCUCAGCGUCAGUAUCGGCCCAGGUCUCCGCCUUCGCCACUGGUGUUCCUCCCGAUAUCUACGAAUUUCACCUCUACACCGGGAAUUCCGAGACCCUCUUCCGUACUCCAGCCUGUCAGUUUCGAGUGCCCUUCCGGGGUUGAGCCCCGGGCUUUCACACCCGACUUAACAGACCGCCUACGUGCGCUUUACGCCCAAUGAUUCCGAGCAACGUUUGCACCCUCCGUAUUACCGCGGCGGCUGGCAC